GAUGAACGCUGGCGGCGUGCCUAAUACAUGCAAGUCGAGCGAAUGGAUUAAGAGCUUGCUCUUAUGAAGUUAGCGGCGGACGGGUGAGUAACACGUGGGUAACCUGCCCAUAAGACUGGGAUAACUCCAGGAAACCGGGGCUAAUACCGGAUAACAUUUUGAACCGCAUGGUUCGAAAUUGAAAGGCGGCUUCGGCUGUCACCUAUGGAUGGACCCGCGUCGCAUUAGCUAGUUGGUGAGGUAACGGCUCACCAAGGCAACGAUGCGUAGCCGACCUGAGAGGGUGAUCGGCCACACUGGGACUGAGACACGGCCCAGACUCCUACGGGAGGCAGCAGUAGGGAAUCUUCCGCAAUGGACGAAAGUCUGACGGAGCAACGCCGCGUGAGUGAUGAAGGCUUUCGGGUCGUAAAACUCUGUUGUUAGGGAAGAACAAGUGCUAGUUGAAUAAGCUGACACCUUGACGGUACCUAACCAGAAAGCCACGGCUAACUACGUGCCAGCCGCCGCAGUAA
rnacentral:rRNA from 1 species